GAUGAAGAACGUAGCGAAAUGCGAUACUUGGUGUGAAUUGCAGAAUCCCGUGAACCAUCGAGUCUUUGAACGCAAGUUGCGCCCGAAGCCGUCAGGCCGAGGGCACGCCUGCCUGGGCGUCACACGUCGUUGCCCCCCCGCGCCCCGCACCCAACGCUUUGGGAGCGACCGCGGGGCGGGCUGAUGAUGGCCUCCCGUGCGCUCCGCCGCGCGGUUGGCCCAAAUACCGAGUCCCCGGCGACGUGCGCCACGACGAUCGGUGGUUGAGAGACCUCUGUCGCAAGUCGUGCGCGCCCGUCGCGUCACGCGGGCUCGCAUAGCGCCUCGCGCCGCACCCGGUGCGGAGCUUUCAACGCGACCCCAGGUCAGGCGGGGUUACCCGCUGAAUUUAAGCAUAUCAAUAAGCGGAGGA
rnacentral:misc_RNA from 1 species